rnacentral:rRNA from 2 species
UUGACCUCGGAUCAGGUAGGGAUACCCGCUGAACUUAAGCAUAUCAAUAAGCGGAGGAAAAGAAACCAACAGGGAUUGCCCUAGUAACGGCGAGUGAAGCGGCAACAGCUCAAAUUUGAAAUCUGGCGUCUUUGGCGUCCGAGUUGUAAUUUGCAGAGGGCGCUUUGGCAUUGGCAGCGGUCCAAGUUCCUUGGAACAGGACGUCACAGAGGGUGAGAAUCCCGUACGUGGUCGCUAGCCUCUACCGUGUAAAGCCCCUUCGACGAGUCGAGUUGUUUGGGAAUGCAGCUCUAAAUGGGAGGUAAAUUUCUUCUAAAGCUAAAUACUGGCCAGAGACCGAUAGCGCACAAGUAGAGUGAUCGAAAGAUGAAAAGCACUUUGGAAAGAGAGUUAAAAAGCACGUGAAAUUGUUGAAAGGGAAGCGCUUGCAGCCAGACUUGCCUGUAGUUGCUCAUCCGGGUUUUUACCCGGUGCACUCUUCUACGGGCAGGCCAGCAUCAGUUUGGGCGGUUGGAUAAAGGUCUCUGUCAUGUACCUCCUCUCGGGGAGAACUUAUAGGGGAGACGACAUGCAACCAGCCCGGACUGAGGUUCCGCGCA